UGCCAGAUCCACAUUGCCAUGGACUCUUUCAUUCUAACCGAUCCUACUCCGAACCUGUAUCUGUUCCCAUACCUGUCCUCAGGUGCAUCCCAAAUCUGCGUGUACGUUUGUUCUGGACAGGAAGAGACCUCUGCGGGUGAAAAUGAGUCCAAAGACAACAACGUCUUUACUGCAGAAACACGGCGAGAACUGAAUCAUCUGUCAAGCAGCCAAGAUCGUCUCCUGUCACAGAUGAUGAGGAGCUCAAAAAGGCAAAAAGACAAACAUGCUAAAUGUCAGAGAAAAUAAUUCCAAUGCUUCUGACAGCCUGACAGGAGAGAGUGUUUGUUCUGCUCUGCUUAAGUUAUUCUUCAGCCUUGUUCUGCCUGCAGCCUCGUCGGUUGGGUCGACCUGCUCUGUUGCACCUAACAGAUUAACUAUAAACACACAAAACACCUCUGAAUGAUAAAACCAACACUGACGCCCUCGCUCCAGUGAUAACUUCUUUCUUUGUUUUUUUGAGUCUGUACACAAGAUGAUUUUAGUUCUCAUGUCCUGUCGUUCUGAAUAAAAAUCUCACUACUAUAAACCUCUAUGAGUUGCAAAACCUUCUGUAUGUAGUCCUACACUACACUUUACACUAGAU